rnacentral:piRNA from 1 species
CCAUGGCUGGUGUGUGCUGCUCCGCAGG